AGGAUGGUAGUUUAAAUGAACAAUUGGGUUGCAUUCAAUAGGAGCUUAAUUAAGCCCAUCUUA
rnacentral:tRNA from 1 species